AAUACUUCAUUUUGGAAGCAUAUUACUAAGCAGAGGAAAAGAAACUAACAAGGAUUUCCCUAGUAGUGGGGAGCAAAACAGAAAAAGCCCAACUUGGAAAUCAGUGUGUUUUGCACAUUGAAUUAUAGUUUGGAGAAGGGUCCUCCAUAGCAGACCAGGUUUAAGUCCUUUGGAACGGGACGCCAGAGAAGGUGAAAGCCCCAGAGAGGGUGAGAGCCCCAUCUAGCCUGGACCCUGCUGCAUCACAAAGCUCUUUCGGCAAGUUAGGUUGAGUAGUAAAUUCCAUCCAAGGCUAAAUACUGGUUGAGCCUCUUAUUGGAAAGCAAUGGUCGCU
rnacentral:ncRNA from 1 species